GCCCCCUCCGGGGUACUCCAUCCCCGUGCCCAGCCCGCUCUCACUUCCGAGGCCCAACCCGGUCCAGGAGCCCUGGAGGAGACCCUCUUCGCGCAAACAAGCCUCUCCAGCUUGGGCCCGUUUCCAAGAUCACAGACCCCUGAAAGCAUUUGCCAUCAACACCUCCAGUUCAGCUGAUGCCCUUCAAAGGCCUGGCUUCUGGCGCUGGGUGCCACCCAACAUUUGACCUUGGCACAGUAUCUACCCAUCUGUAGCCAGAGGCAGCUGAAACAGGGGCAUUCCAAUUGGGCCAACCACUGUAAAAUCCUGUGGGCUAAGUUUCCACACCGUUCCUCUGCCCAACACCCACCCCCACCCAGCUCUUCUCCAAACGUAGAGGACCUAUCUCACUUUCCAAGGUCAGAGAGAUCUUGGGAAAGGGCACCUGGACCCCAGUGUGUUUUCUGAGUCUCUGAAACUGGGCACCUAGCAUAGCCAUGCCCAUAAAAGCCUUGAAAAUGACAGUCAGUUUAAGCCAUGCCCCUACACCUUAGAAUACACAAAGGGAGAAGAACCGCGGGUCAGCAGAAGG
rnacentral:lncRNA from 1 species